GAUGAACGCUGGCGGCGUGCCUAAUACAUGCAAGUCGAGCGAACAGACGAGGAGCUUGCUCCUCUGACGUUAGCGGCGGACGGGUGAGUAACACGUGGAUAACCUACCUAUAAGACUGGGAUAACUUCGGGAAACCGGAGCUAAUACCGGAUAAUAUAUUGAACCGCAUGGUUCAAUAGUGAAAGACGGUUUUGCUGUCACUUAUAGAUGGAUCCGCGCCGCAUUAGCUAGUUGGUAAGGUAACGGCUUACCAAGGCAACGAUGCGUAGCCGACCUGAGAGGGUGAUCGGCCACACUGGAACUGAGACACGGUCCAGACUCCUACGGGAGGCAGCAGGAGGGAAUCUUCCGCAAUGGGCGAAAGCUUGACGGAGCAACGCCGCGUGAGUGAUGAAGGUCUUCGGAUCGUAAAACUCUGUUAUUAGGGAAGAACAAAUGUGUAAGUAACUAUGCACGUCUUGACGGUACCUAAUCAGAAAGCCACGGCUAACUACGUGC
rnacentral:rRNA from 1 species